rnacentral:rRNA from 1 species
UACAGAGGGUGCGAGCGUUAAUCGGAAUUACUGGGCGUAAAGCGUGCGCAGGCGGUUUUGUAAGUCUGUCGUGAAAUCCCCGGGCUUAACCUGGGAAUUGCGAUGGAGACUGCAAGGCUAGAAUCUGGCAGAGGGGGGUAGAAUUCCACGUGUAGCAGUGAAAUGCGUAGAGAUGUGGAGGAACACCGAUGGCGAAGGCAGCCCCCUGGGUCAAGAUUGACGCUCAUGCACGAAAGCGUGGGGAGCAAACAGG